UGCCCUGCUUCUAAGCUAUCAAGCCAAACCACAUCUUUCCAAGCAACAGGCUGUCAGAUCUAUUUCUCACUGUAAGAAAUCCAAUGUGGCUCAUAAUCAAAGGUACGGACGUGAACUGUCUGUGGGUGACUUGCCUGGAUGCCGGCUAUAGCUGCAGCCCCCAAAGUCGAAGCUACCAGAACAGAUUGGAUGAGGAUGGCCCAAAGAUUAUGGAGUUGCUGGCCCCAAAGCAAGUCAGACACUAUGGGAAGUUUGCAUGAAUCAUGCCCUUGGAUAGACAACCUAAAUCAUACCUCAUCGAGCAUGGAUCCUGGUCAGCAUACCAAGUCAAGGCAAGUAAAGACUGAAGAAAUAUCACCUGGUCUGCAGCUCCCCCCAAAACGAAGUCUGCUACUGAUGGCAGAAGCAUAGAUAGACCAAGGGUAUCACUAUGUAAUGAUGGAAGAAGGAAAAACCCCAUGCAUUCACUCAUGUCUUGAAUCACCUAGAGAAGAGAGGGAAUCUGCCAAAGUGGACACAAUAGAAAUUCAGUUCUAAAUUUGGAGGAAAUGAGACCCACUCUCAGAUAAGAUGAAAAGUAAAAGCCCUAGGAUCCAAUGGGGUAUUAAACAAAUAUUUAAAAGUAGAGAGG
rnacentral:lncRNA from 1 species